rnacentral:rRNA from 1 species
UACUAGAGUAGCACUCGCAUAUCAAUAAGCGGAGGAAAAGAAACUAACUAAGGAUUCCCCUAGUAACGGCGAGUGAAGCGGGAAGAGCUCAAAUUUGAAAUCUUAAAGGGUUUCCCUUUACGAAUUGUAGUUUAAAGAAGUGUUUUCUGUUGAGGUUUUGGUAAAAGUUCUUUGGAAUAGGACAUCAUAGAGGGUGAGAAUCCCGUAUUUGACCUUUACUUUCAACUUUGUGAUACACUUUCAAAGAGUCGGAUUGUUUGGGAAUGCAGUCCAAAAUGGGUGGUAAAUUUCAUCUAAAGCUAAAUAUUGGCGAGAGACCUGAUAGCGAACAAGUACCGUGAGGGAAAGAUGAAAAGAACUUUGAAAAGAGAGUUAAACAGUACGUGAAAUUGUCAAAAGGGAAGCGUUUGACACCAGUGUUGUUUUUCUGAAAAUCAAUUAAAGAACUGUUUAUGCUAAGCUGUUUAGACUUUAUCAGCUAUCUGUUUAGUUUUAGGCUUUUCUUUAAUGCACUUUUCAGUUAACAAGUCAACAUCAAUUUCUUUUGCUGUAAAAAAGCUUGAGGAAGGUGGCUUGAGAUUCGUCUUAAGUGUUUAUAGCCUCUUGCCUAUGCAGUCGGAGAGAUUGAGGUCUGCAGCGUAGAUCCUUCGGGGCUAAAUGCAUUUGUGCUAAGUUAUAGCAUUUUAUAGACAACUUGUUGACUAUGAUUUGUCUUGUAGCUUACUCGCUUAUGUUAUUUUACCUACGCUUAGGAUGUUGAGCGCAUGUCUCUCUCU